rnacentral:rRNA from 1 species
GAUGAACGCUGGCGGCGUGCCUAAUACAUGCAAGUCGAGCGAACGGACGAGAAGCUUGCUUCUCUGAUGUUAGCGGCGGACGGGUGAGUAAAACGUGGAUAACCUACCUAUAAGACUGGGAUAACUUCGGGAAACCGUAGCUAAUACCGGAUAAUAUUUUGAACCGCAUGGUUCAAAAGUGAAAGACGGUCUUGCUGUCACUUAUAGAUGGAUCCGCGCUGCAUUAGCUAGUUGGUAAGGUAACGGCUUACCAAGGCAACGAUGCAUAGCCGACCUGAGAGGAUGAUCGGCCACACUGGAACUGAGACACGGUCCAGACUCCUACGGGAGGCAGCAGUAGGGAAUCUUCCGCAAUGGGCGAAAGCCUGACGGAGCAACGCCGCGUGAGUGAUGAAGGUCUUCGGAUCGUAAAACUCUGUUAUUAGGGAAGAACAUAUUUGUAAGUAUCUGUGCACAUCUUGACGUUACCUGAUCAGAAAGCCACGGCUAACUACGUG